ACGAGACAGCAAACAGAGCAGUAAGAGAGAGAGAGAAACAAAGAGAGUCCCCGGCAACCGGCCUUCGACGCGUGCUUGCCUCCCACAAACAGAACCGAGGUCAUCGACUCUAGGGCUUUCCGGUGAAGAUUCGAGCGAUCAGAGGUGGUAGUGGCGAGUUCCGACGAGUCUAGGGUUCCGCCGUGACCCAUGAUGACAGCGGCGAUGUGGUGAAUCUACUUCCAAAACCACCUCUUACUUUACCAUUCCAGAUUUCAUGACAACCUAUGUGAUUGAAGUAAUUUACUGAAAUUCAGACCGAUCAUCAAAUUUUCUGCUGUGGUUGUAUGGAGCAAGGUGCACCCGCCGCAACGCACGAGUUGAAUACUAAACCAAACCGACGCGCAGGUCAAACCGAUAUCUCACGAGAUUGAUCAGGUCGUUAUGAUCGAUUUUGAGGAAAAUUCUACCAUCAAAGUAAGCCCCCUACCCAGACUUGGCAAAGCAACAUCAACAACAGCAUAGGGCUUCAUGGUUUCACGUAGUAUAUUAUCGUCACAAUUCAUUCAUUAUUAUACAAUUCAUAGGUCUGAAGUGAUAAAACCCUUCCUAACUUUUUUUUCAAUUAUCAUUAUGUCAUUAUGUCAUUUAAUUGUAACGGGUCAGAUUGCAGUUUAAGUUUUGCUGCUUGCAGCUACUAUUUUACAACAAACUGACUUCAAUAUGUCAACACAUGAU